rnacentral:lncRNA from 1 species
UGACUAUUUGAGUUUCUUUGCUUUUAAAAAACCAGAAUUUAAAUAUACACUGUACUUUGUUGUUUUUGCAAGAACAACAUAUGUAGGACUCAUACACUGUGCAAAUACAAAUUACUUACAGCAUGAUUUUAAAGUGUUCUUCAUCUUGUGUCAAUACUAAGGUCUGUCCAUAUUUUUUAUACAGGCAGAUUUGUAUAAAUAUAUAUAAUUUACUGUAGUUUCAUACAGCAUUAAUUUGCUGUUUAAAAGCAGGGGGGAAAUGAGCAGAGAAUGGAACAAUCAUUAGUUUAUUGAAUGCUUUGAAAAAAAAUACUAUUAUAGGGAAUGACGUAGAAAUACAAGAAAGUGUUUGCAGGAAAAACAAGAAACAAAAACAUACAAACAAAAAAUCUGAAAAGCAGCAAUAGAAUCAAUAUAAAGUCAGAAAUCCAUGAUGUAUGAAAACUUCUGGUUCUCCAAAUGAUCAGAGAAAGACCAAAAAGGGCAGAGCUUGCAUACAUUAAGACCAUUCAAUUGCAAUGCCCUAUUCAAAACUGUUUUCAGCUUCUGUAGAGAGAAUUUGGCCUCUUCACAAAGGUGCUCAUUGAGCAUCACCCUCUAUUAUAAGAAAUAUGUAUAAUGUACCAUCAAAUAGCAGGAACAUAAAAAUUAAAGAAAAAAAAUACCUGCAUUCUUAACUUAGAUUUUCUUCCUCCUUUGUACUUCUUGAUAAACUAGGUAGAGAAUUUUAAGUGUCGUGGAAUAUUUAGGGUCAGUUUUUCUGUUAAUGUUUGCUCAGGUAUCAAGCAGAUGCCCUGGUCUACAAUGAUUAGAGGCUGUUAGUGGAAUUUAACCCCUGACACACCUGUGUCAAACCAGUAUGACAAAAAGCAUGAAAAUGGUCACCCCGGGUCUUCUGGGAGAGAGAAACCUGGACCCUCCAUGUGUGUGCCUGGGAACUCUGAGCGUCUCACUGCGUGGCUGAAUUAAACAUCUGUGGAUACCAUGCAAAGGCCCUUUCUGCUUCUUUACCCUGGACUUUACUUGUAGCAGUUCAGGCUGCUACAGGUUAUGUUCUCAAAAUAUU